CCUACGUGGGGCAGCAGUAGGGAAUCUUCCACAAUGGGCGAAAGCCUGAUGGAGCAACGCCGCGUGGGUGAAGAAGGUCUUCGGAUCGUAAAACCCUGUUGUUAGAGAAGAAAGUGCGUGAGAGUAACUGUUCACGUUUCGACGGUAUCUAACCAGAAAGCCACGGCUAACUAAGUGCCAGCAGCCGCGGUAAUACGUAGGUGGCAAGCGUUAUCCGGCUUUAUUGGGCGUAAAGGGAACGCAGGCGGUCUUUUAAGUCUGAUGUGAAAGCCUUCGGCUUAACCGGAGUAGUGCAUUGGAGACUGGGAGACUUGAGUGCAGAAGAGGAGAGUGGAACUACAGGUGUAGCGGUGAAAGGCGUAGAUAUAUGGAAGAACACCAGUGGCGAAAGCGGCUCUCUGGUCUGUAACUGACGCUGAGGUUCGAAAGCGUGGGUAGCAAACAGGAUUAGAUACCCCAGUAGUC
rnacentral:rRNA from 1 species